rnacentral:piRNA from 1 species
UGGACAAGGUAGAAGGGACUUUAAACAUG